CGAACGGAUGAGUAACACGUGAGGAACCUGCCCCGAAGACCGGGAUAACCCUCCGAAAGGAGAGCUAAUACCGGAUACCCCCACCGGACCGCAUGAUCUGGUGAGGAAAUGGAUUCCGCUUCGGGAGGGUCUCGCGGCCUAUCAGCUAGUUGGCGGGGUAACGGCCCACCAAGGCGUCGACGGGUAGCUGGUCUGAGAGGACGAUCAGCCACACUGGGACUGAGACACGGCCCAG
rnacentral:rRNA from 1 species